CUGCAGUGAUGACCAUCUUAGGACACCUUUGGAAUCAUGAUGAAAAAAUCUUGUAACCUGAGCAGC